GAAAUGCGAUAAGUAAUGUGAAUUGCAGAAUUCAGUGAAUCAUCGAAUCUUUGAACGCACCUUGCGCUCCUUGGUAUUCCUUGGAUCAUGCCUGUUUGAGUAUCCUGAAAUCUUCAAAGUAAAUCUUUUGUUAACUCAAUUGGUUUCUACUUUGGUAUUGGAGGUCUUUGCAGCUUCACACCUGCUCCUCUUUGUUCAUUAGCUGGAUCUCAGUGUUAUGCUUGGUUCCACUCGGCGUGAUAAGUUAUCUAUCGCUGAGGACACUGUAAAAGGUGGCCAAGGUAAAUGCAGAUGAACCGCUUCUAAUAGUCCAUUGACUUGGACAAUACUUUUAUGAUCUGAUCUCAAAUCAGGUAGGACUACCCGCUGAACUUAAGC
rnacentral:misc_RNA from 1 species